AACUGUAAAACAUCGUGAAUUGUAAACAAAGCGAAUUUAUUUUUUACAAGUAAUCUCAAGCUGAAAUUUAUCUAACUAUAUCGGAUAAUUAUAUUUAUGUUGUCCUCUAAGAGUACGAUGUCUGAAUAGUUCUUGUGUGAAGUGAAAAUUAACUAACGCAGCAAUGCUAUGCAUCACUGUAAAGCUUCUGAAAUUAUCAUUUAUCAUGCUAUUGCUUUAAUUUUUCAUACGAACAUGAAUGUAGUGAACUUAUUUCGUUUUCAAUUUCUUGAUGAAAAUCAGUGCAGUGUUUUCAUUAGUGUGAAUUCCUGUAAAAUUAACACAAUCAUUUCAGUGAAUAUUAGUGUUAUUAAUUGCUUCUGGUUUUAUGGUGUGAUCCUAAAGAAAUUUUUUUUUUUCAAAAUGCGUGAUUCUAAAAUACUAAACUGGCAUAUUGUCGGAAUAUUGUUAUGAAGCUAUCUUAAUUAACUAACUACUUCAAAUUGAGUGGAAAACAAAACAUUUAUCAGUUAUUCAUUAGGAAUGAAAUAACUUUCGUGACCUUUCAUUGUACUACCUCAGGAUAGGAUCUGAAGGACUGUUUGCUUCCUUAUUCGACCUUUUCCGCCUUUGGUGUGGAGGGUUGUUUGUUGGCGAGAGAAGUUUGAUGGUUCCUUAAAAUUUUCUUCAACAUUAAGUACGUGGAAAAAAUUCCAUGUCUCCCAAAAGAGAUCGUAAAUGGAGGAGAUUGUUACACAAAGGUAGUAUUUUCUGGAAUUUUUACUGUAUUUAAGUCUAGAUUAAUUUUUAUAUUAUACUAAUGAGUAACAUUCCAUUCCGUGCCAAGGGAAACGUUUAAUCUAUAUGUUGUAACCAUCAUUAGUGCAAUCACAUUAUUUGAUAAUCAAUCUAUUAUAAAGGUUUAGGAUAAAACGAAUAAGUAAAUAAAAAAUAUUUACUUGGUACUACUAUACUUGGCUAACUGCCUGCUUUGAUUUCAACAAGAGGGAUGUGAGAUGAUAGUAAAUAUGAUGGGCUGAUAACUUUGCAGUAUACCUUGGCUACAUAUCUUAGAAGAAUUUUAAAGAGUGCUUAGACUUCCAUGUUGUAUAUUCAUCCCUGAGUGGAAAAUUU